rnacentral:rRNA from 1 species
UACGUAGGGUGCAAGCGUUAUCGGAAUUACUGGGCGUAAAGCGUGCGCAGGCGGCUUUGCAAGACAGAUGUGAAAUCCCCGGGCUUAACCUGGGAACUGCAUUUGUGACUGCAUGGCUGGAGUGCGGCAGAGGGGGAUGGAAUUCCGCGUGUAGCAGUGAAAUGCGUAGAUAUGCGGAGGAACACCGAUGGCGAAGGCAAUCCCCUGGGCCUGCACUGACGCUCAGUGCACGAAAGCGUGGGGAGCAAACAGG